UUACAAUCCCAAUUCCUUAUGUGUUACAUGCGGCAAAUAGAUAUUUUCAUUCUAUUCACAAACCUAAUUAUUCACUGUGCAAAUAACUAAGUCACAUGAUAUCAUGCCCAGUUCUAACCCUAGAAUUCCUCUCUCAAUUCCUUCUAGAGUAACAAGGUAAUUACUGAUCAGAUAAUUAAUCAAUAAGCAUAAGGCAAGAUAAACAACUCACUUUGAC
rnacentral:lncRNA from 1 species